UUAAGCCAUGCGAGUCGAACGAGUUUAGGCUCGUGGCGUACGGCUCAGUAACACGUGGAUAACCUACCCUUAGGAUCGGGAUAACCUUGGGAAACUGAGGAUAAUACUGGAUAGGCAAUUAUUCCUGCAAUGGUUUUUUGUUUAAAUGUUUUUUCGCCUAAGGAUGGGUCUGCGGCCGAUUAGGUAGUUGGUUAGGUAAUGGCCUACCAAGCCGUUGAUCGGUACGGGUUGUGAGAGCAAGAGCCCGGAGAUGGAACCUGAGACAAGGUUCCAGGCCCUACGGGGUGCAGCAGGCGCGAAACCUCCGCAAUGUGAGAAAUCGCGACGGGGGGAUUCCAAGUGCCAUUCUUAACGGGAUGGCUUUUCAUUAGUGUAAAGAGCUUUUGGAAUAAGAGCUGGGCAAGACCGGUGCCAGCCGCCGCGGUAA
rnacentral:rRNA from 1 species